UGUGUGUGUGUGUGUGUGUGUGUGUGUGUGUGUGUGUGUGUUGCUGGAUCCAGGACCAUACACAUGCUAGCCAAGCACUCGUCCCACUGAGCAACCAUCCUGUUACACAUUUUGAGAGGACCCAUGCUCUCAGCUGCUCUGCCACGGUGUUCUGGCCCAAGAGAGCUGCUCGCUGGUACAGCUCUCCCUGGAUGUGUGAGCCUCGUCCACAGCUGGCUACUGCUGCUAUUCCUGGCUCUUGACCGCAACCUCAAAAUUAUACCAAGUUUCCAGGUGACAAAAAUGAGGUACAGAGAGUUGAUACAAUUUCCCAAGACCUCAGAAGUCGUACAUGGGGGUUCCAGGUUCUACGCUAGCCAGCUUCAAAGCCUGAGUUCACAUUCGGCGCCCUAAGGACUCUCGAACCUGUCUUCUUCCCUGUGGUUCUGCUCGGGUGCAUGCAUGGCGUCUCGCACCCACCCAUCUCCACACCAUCUCCAUUUUCAGCCCCAGAGGAAGGAGGCCCCAGAAACAAAGAGAAAAAGAAAACCUGCUUUGAAACAAUUUUGCAUGAACCUGAAAUUAGAAACAAGGUUGGCCUGCAACUUGCUCUGUAGCCCAGCUGGCCUCAGACUCCCAAUCUUCUACUUCAGCCUCCCAAGUGGAAUGAUUACAAGCAUGCCAGUCAACGUCUGACUCUGAUGGCUAUUAAUUAUUACUGUUUGAACGUAUUUUCUUUUUGCUUAGAAAAUUAUGCAAAAUCCUUACAAGUCAUGCAUCUUAUAAAUUAAUAACAAGAAUAUAUGGGCCAGCAAGAUAGCUCAUUCAGUGGAGGUAUUUGCCACCAAGGCUGACACUUUGAGUCUGAUUCUCAGAAUCCAUGUGACGGAACGAGAGAACUGACUCCUGAGAGCUGUCUUCUGAUCUCCAUAUGUGUGUCAGGGUAUGUACAUGCCUACAUACAUACACAGUUUUUAAUUAAGUAAAAACGUAUACAUAAGGGGGCUGGGAAGAUGGCUUAGCUGGUCAAGUGCCCGUGAGCCUAUGUCCGAUGCCCAGCACACAUUAAUGCCAGGUGCAGCGACCCCUAUCUGCGACACCAGUGCUGCAGGGCUGUGGACAGGGUGAAGAUGUGCAGAUCCCAGCCCAGCCGAGUCAAUGAGACGGUGUUUAACGGAAGACGCCUGUCUCAGCAAGUAAGACGGAGAGCAGUCAAGGAAGACAUGCGCGUGUGCACGCGCACUCACACACACAAGCACACACACACACAAGCACACACACACACAGCACAAAAGAGAGAAAGAACUAGAACUCCAUAUCAAAAUAUUUAAAUAGCUCUACGAUAAAAUAUAAAAUGAAGAAGAUGGGCAAAGGUGGUGGGAAGGGAGCCGCUCAGUUGGCAGAUUGCUUGCCUGACAGGCACAGAGCACCGAGUUUCCUACCUGGCACAGCAUAAACUGGUGUAGUGGUGUAUACCUGUAAUUCCAACACUCAGAAGGUGGAGAGGCAGGAGGAACCGAAGGUCAUUUUUCCUUGGCUACAUAGAGUUUGAGACCAGCCUAGGCUACAUGAGACCCUGUCUUAAAAGAGAAUGUGGGCCAGGUGUUGGGGGCGAACGCCUUUUAUCCCAGCACUCAGGAGGCAGAGCCAAGUGGAUUUUUGUGAGUUUGAGGCCAGCUUGGUCUAC